rnacentral:rRNA from 1 species
UGGGGAAUAUUGGACAAUGGGCGCAAGCCUGAUCCAGCCAUGCCGCGUGAGUGAUGAAGGCCUUAGGGUUGUAAUGCUCUUUUGGCGGGGACGAUAAUGACGGUACCCGCAGAAUAAGCCCCGGCUAACUUCGUGCCAGCAGCCGCGGUAAUACGAAGGGGGCUAGCGUUGUUCGGAAUUACUGGGCGUAAAGGGCUCGUAGGCGGCCAACUAAGUCAGACGUGAAAUCCCUCGGCUUAACCGGGGAACUGCUUCUGAUACUGGAUGGCUUGAGAUUGGGAGAGGGAUGCGGAAUUCCAGGUGUAGCGGUGAAAUGCGUAGAUAUCUGGAGGAACACCGGUGGCGAAGGCGGCAUCCUGGACCAAUACUGACGCUGAGUGAGCGAAAGCC